CCUGUUUAGAAUUUUUACUAGAUCAGAUUUUUCCUUCCCUGCCUUAUUAAUUUCUGCAGAUACCCUUCCACUUCUGAGUCUUGAUAGAAUAUAUGUUGUAAAGUUCAAAAAACCCAAUUUCAAAAAGUCAUAACCAGAAAUUAAAAGUUCCUCUACAGAUAUGGUAAACGACUAAAUCAAGUCCAGAUUUAUUUCCCUUGGAUCUUCAUCCACCUAAUCAAGUUCAGAGGUUCUAGGUGCGUAAACGUCUGCCUUGUAAUGAUGAAAAAGAAGAGUACGGCUGUGUACAUCCAGACCUUCCCCAGACACUAGCGAGGUGGAGCCACUUUGCACAGGUCUAUUGGACAGCAUGAAUCUUGAACAUUAUCUUCAGAAUCUCGAGUGCUACUGCUUUCAGAUCCAUGGUCUCUUUUGAUUGCAACAUGUUUUCCCUCAGCUCGAGCAACUUGCUCUACCACAAAGUGAAGCAGA